CCUACGGGAGGCAGCAGUGGGGGAUAUUGCACAAUGGGGGAAACCCUGAUGCAGCGACGCCGCGUGGGCGAAGAAGUAUUUCGGUAUGUAAAGCCCUAUCAGCAGGGAAGAAGAAAUGACGGUACCUCUUGAAUAAGCCACGGCUAACUACGUGCCAGCAGCCGCGGUAAUACGUAGGUGGCAAGCGUUGUCCGGAUUUACUGGGUGUAAAGGGCGUGCAGCCGGGAAGACAAGUCAGAUGUGAAAUCCCGCGGCUCAACCGCGGAACUGCAUUUGAAACUGUUUUUCUUGAGUACCGGAGAGGUCAUCGGAAUUCCUUGUGUAGCGGUGAAAUGCGUAGAUAUAAGGAAGAACACCAGUGGCGAAGGCGGAUGACUGGACGGCAACUGACGGUGAGGCGCGAAAGCGUGGGGAGCAAACAGGAUUAGAUACCCGGGUC
rnacentral:rRNA from 1 species